UCUUUGACAGUACGAUAGUGUCACGCUCUAGCUGCCACUUCAGGUGUUCAUUGCUGGUCAUGGAAUCAGCUUCUACCACACCAUCUUGCUGCACGGUCCUUCGGGGCUGAAGAAGGCGGCUGAAUUUCUAAGUGCGAUAUUGGAGUGAGGAAAAAACCCAAACAAAAUGGAAACUGCUCAGAGGGGCUUUAAAAUCCAAAUCUCACUCUCUUUUUUAGCAAGGCCGACAAAUAUUCACCUGUCUCUUGUCUUGACGCAAACUGCAAAACGAAAUGGAGCGGAGUCUGUGAUCAACGGGCUUGGUAUGAACGUAGCCUUCUGCUGAGGAAGCUGAGUCCAUCUCAUCGCGCAAAGGCUGACGAGAGAAAUUCAGCUGCCAGAACAAAGUGCCUCAUUCAUGCUUCUGACAUGGCGAGAGCACCCCCUGCUUCAUGGUCCCCUCUUUAUUCCAGCAGAGGUCCCAGCAGAUGGGUGCAGGGCAGAUUGUGUGACGGUCUACCCCUGAUCUGGAGUUAAAGGGAAGAGCCAGUGCUCAUGGUGGGAAGUGACCUUAAAGAAGUCAGUGUGUCUGUAGCCAUCCCUGCAGCCAACUCCGAUGAGCAGAGCCCUUCUCCCCUGGGGAUACUUGUCUUCCACAAUGACAAACAACAUGAAGGGAAAUAACAUGAAGGAGGAAAAGAGGUUGAACCCGGGGACAUGAAAGACUAAAGGACAUUAGACUCAUUGUUCAGAAUUAUACUUGAAAAUUCAUCUUUCUCAUUUCCUUUUUUUUUUUUUUUUUUAAAUACAGCUAUUGCAAGGAGGGAUGAAUAAUGGGAUUUAAUUUUUACCACAGGGUCGGCAGUACAGUCAGUGGCUUAUUUUCAAUAUCUGUUAAUGCAUGGUAUGUUUUUAUAUUAAAAUGGAUUUUCUUGGCACAUU